AACUCUUCAAACCAAACCUUCAAAGACUCUGAAGGAGCAGAGGGGACACAAUGGAUCAUUAACAGCCGGGAUGAGGUCGAGGAACAAGACACCGGCCGCGUACUCCUUGUGAUGGUGCCAAACAAGCAGAGAAGGCAGAGUCCCUCCCACCGUGGACUUCUCACUCCUGGGAGCGAUGUCCACCCCCUUCCCGACUGCAAGAGGGAUGUCGGAUUUAAUCCUCAGGCUUGUUCCGUCUUGGUUUCGAGACAGCUGUAGCAACUCCAGCCAUUGCGUCUUUCCCACCCCGGGUCGGAUUUGAUCACUCAUAGCUUCUGUAACAAUUAACACAGACUUGGUACUUUAGAACAGCAGGGACUUGUUCUCUAAGAGGCCGAAGUCAGCAUCACUGAGGUGAAAUAAAGGUGUUGAUGGGGUUCUGCACCCACUG
rnacentral:lncRNA from 1 species